AUCCAGCUGACGAGUCCCAAUCAGAACGAAAUGCGCAUCCUGGAU
rfam:Trichobilharzia regenti genome assembly, scaffold: TRE_scaffold0003538